rnacentral:rRNA from 1 species
UACAGAGGGUGCAAGCGUUAAUCGGAAUUACUGGGCGUAAAGCGUGCGUAGUCGGUUAUUUAAGUCGGAUGUGAAAUCCCCGGGCUCAACCUGGGAAUUGCAUUCGAUACUGGAUGGCUAGAGUUCGGCAGAGGGAAGUGGAAUUUCUGGUGUAGCGGUGAAAUGCGUAGAUAUCAGGAGGAACAUCGAUGGCGAAGGCAGCCCCUUGGACCUGUACUGACGCUCAUGCACGAAAGCGUGGGGAGCAAACAGG